CCCGGCACAGAAUGAGAGCUCCAAGUGGGCCAUUUUUGGUAAGCAGAACUGGCGAUGCGGGAUGAACCGAAAGCCGGGUUACGGUGCCAAAUUGCGCGCUAACCUAGAUCCCACAAAGGGUGUUGAUUGAUUAAGACAGCAGGACGGUGGUCAUGGAAGUCGAAAUCCGCUAAGGAGUGUGUAACAACUCACCUGCCGAAUCAACUAGCCCCGAAAAUGGAUGGCGCUUAAGCGCGCAACCUACACCCGGCCAUUGGGGCGAGUGCGAGGCUUCAAUGAGUAGGAGGGCGUGGGGGUCGUGGAGCAGCUUUGGGCGUGAGCCCGAGUGAAACGGCCCCUAGUG
rnacentral:ncRNA from 1 species